AACGAACGCUGGCGGCAGGCCUAAAACAUGCAAGUCGAACGAACCUUCGGGUUAGUGGCGCACGGGUGAGUAACGCGUGGGAAUGUGCCUCUGGGUGCGGAACAACGUCGGGAAACUGACGCUAAUACCGCAUAAUGUCUACGGACCAAAGAUUUAUCGCCCAGAGAUCAGCCCGCGUCUGAUUAGCUAGUUGGUGAGGUAACGGCUCACCAAGGCUACGAUCAGUAGCUGGUCUGAGGGGAUGAUCAGCCACACUGGAACUGAGACACGGUCCAGACUCCUACGGGAGGCAGCAGUUAGGAAUAUUGGACAAUGGGCGCAAGCCUGAUGCAGCGACGCCGCGUGAGCGAAGAAGGUUUUCGGGAUCGUAAAGCUCUGUCCUCUGGGAAGAAAAAAAUGACGGUACCAGAGGAGGAAGCCCGGCUAACUACGUGCCAGCAGCCGCGGUAAGCUCGUCUCUA
rnacentral:rRNA from 1 species